ACGCUCGACACCUACUGGAGGCAGCAGUGAGGAAUAUUGGUCAAUGGGCGCUAGCCUGAACCAGCCAAGUAGCGUGAAGGAUGAAGGCUCUAUGGGUCGUAAACUUCUUUUAUAUAAGAAUAAAGUGCAGUAUGUAUACUGUUUUGUAUGUAUUAUAUGAAUAAGGAUCGGCUAACUCCGUGCCUGCAGCCGCGGUAAUCUGAGCGGGCUGGCAAGGC
rnacentral:rRNA from 1 species